UACGGAGGGAGCUAGCGUUGUUCGGAAUUACUGGGCGUAAAGCGCACGUAGGCGGCCUUGUAAGUUAGAGGUGAAAGCCCGGGGCUCAACCCCGGAAUUGCCUUUAAGACUGCAUCGCUUGAAUCCGGGAGAGGUGAGUGGAAUUCCGAGUGUAGAGGUGAAAUUCGUAGAUAUUCGGAAGAACACCAGUGGCGAAGGCGGCUCACUGGACCGGUAUUGACGCUGAGGUGCGAAAGCGUGGGGAGCAAACAGG
rnacentral:rRNA from 1 species